rnacentral:sRNA from 1 species
ACGUGACCAAGAGCCGCCUAGAGCACAAGUCCUGCUAGUCGCCUCCGUCUGGGUACCAGCCCCCUAUUACUCUGCAGGCGUGUGAAGAAAGAAGGAAACUAGCUCGGACCGUGCAGAUUCAUCACAAGAGAGCUACAAGAGCCUGGAAGAAGCUGAAGACUGCUACCCUCCAUCCUUACUCACCCUGGACCUGAGAGACCUCUUCAAUCAGGUGGAGCAAGGCCCUCUCCUGUCCUGCCCCAAGGCUGGCACAGACUUGAGCAUGGGCCGGGCUCGGGAAGUGGGUUGGAUGGCGGCAGGACUGAUGAUUGGGGCUGGUGCCUGCUACUGCGUUUACAAACUGACCAUAGGAAGAGAUGACAGUGAGAAGCUGGAGGAGGAGGGGGAAGAGGAGUGGGACGACGACCAGGAGCUGGAUGAGGAGGAGCCUGAUAUUUGGUUUGAUUUUGAAACUAUGGCUCGGCCCUGGACUGAGGAUGGGGAUUGGACUGAACCUGGGGCCCCAGGUGGCACUGAGGACAGGCCCUCAGGGGGAGGCAAGGCCAACCGAGCACACCCAAUAAAACAGCGGCCAUUCCCCUAUGAACAUAAAAAUACUUGGAGUGCUCAAAAUUGUAAAAAUGGCAGUUGUGUUCUGGACCUCUCCAAGUGUCUUUUCAUUCAGGGAAAA